AUUGAACGCUGGCGGCAUGCUUUACACAUGCAAGUCGAACGGUAACAGGCCUUCGGGUGCUGACGAGUGGCGAACGGGUGAGUAAUGCAUCGGAACGUACCCAGAGGUGGGGGAUAACGCAGCGAAAGCUGUGCUAAUACCGCAUGUGAUCUGAGGAUGAAAGCGGGGGACCGAGCAGCAAUGUUUGGCCUCGCGCCUUUGGAGCGGCCGAUGUCGGAUUAGCUAGUUGGUGGGGUAAAGGCCUACCAAGGCGACGAUCCGUAGCUGGUCUGAGAGGACGACCAGCCACACUGGGACUGAGACACGGCCUAGACUCCUACGGGAGGCAGCAGUGGGGAAUUUUGGACAAAGGGCGCAAGCCUGAUCCAGCAAUGCCGCGUGCGGGAAGAAGGCCUUCGGGUUGUAAACCGCUUUUGGCAGGAACGAAACGGUGUCCGCUAAUACCGGGCGCUAAUGACGGUACCUGCAGAAUAAGCACCGGCUAACUACGUG
rnacentral:rRNA from 1 species